UACGUAGGUGGCAAGCGUUGUCCGGAUUUACUGGGCGUAAAGGGCGUGCAGGCGGUUUGUUAAGUGCAGGGUGAAAGCUCCCGGCUCAACUGGGAGAGGUCCUUGCAUACUGGCAGACUUGAGGGAGGCAGAGGAAAGUGGAAUUCCCGGUGUAGUGGUGAUAUGCGUAGAUAUCGGGAGGAACACCUGUGGCGAAGGCGGCUUCUGGGCCUUACCUGACGCUGAGACGCGAAAGCGUGGGGAGCGAACCGG
rnacentral:rRNA from 1 species